GGCUGUGUAUUAUGUAAAAGUAUAGAACAUCAUUGUUACAAGAAAAAAUAGAGGGGAGAUGUCAUUUUAUAGAGUAACGUGCGUCUCCUCUGCGGUUUGGAGACUGUCUUGCGGCGUGACCUUGUGAACUUGGCACUGAAUAGGAGCAUAUUCAGUCCUGCCUCUCCGGACACCCCUCCGCAUCCCUGAGCUCUUUUGUACAGGCUUACCCAGGCAGGAAGUGACAUCAACGGGUCCAAACUAAAAAUAUGUCGCAGGACGAGCUGUCUAGGAUGUCCAGGACUGGUGUUUGUUCAAAAAGGAGGAUGCUUCUCACAAGGUUCUCUAUCUGUGUGGAUGCUGUGUGGUGGCAACCUAUUGUGAAGCAGAUACCAUCUUAGUUAAUGGCCUCUUGGACUUCUCUGCACCUGUGUUUCAAGUCCGAUAAAUCUCAGAACUCAUCUUGAAAUCCAAUCCUCUCACUAAGACAACUGCGCUUACUGGUUGCCACCACAAAUCAUCCACUGUCGACAGCUCAACGCUGCUGAAGCACAUCACAGAAGUCUGUUCCACUUAUUCCCCAUUUUGCUGGUUAAAAUAAAUCUUUUAAGACCAAGUCUGAGUCUAAAUCUGAUUCUGCUUGUGGGUUGUGAAAUUGCCUAGUAGCAUAGAU